ensembl:lncRNA
CAAUGAGAAAGCACUCAGUUUAUUCCACUAGAGCUUGGCUGGACAGCUAUUGUGUGCUAAGCAUACUAUCAGGCACUGCUACAAAGCAUCAGAAAGACAGCCUAAUCCUCCCCCACCCCCACUUUCCUGUGUGAGCCGAGUCAAGGGCGGGCAAACACACACACACACACACACACACACACACACACACACACACACACACACACACACCACAUCUUUUUAUGACCCUGGCAGCUGCUGCAGGCUUUUCCUAGAAUUGUUUAUUAAACCCAACCCAAGGGCCUAAAUAAAUCCAGGAACUGAUACAAUUUUCCAUUUGUUCUGGCCAAGACUGGAGCCCUGAAACCUUCACAUAAACCCCAGGCCUUGCUUCUCUUGCCACAGCAGUGUACCUAAGCAAAGAUCCAUCGCCUUUUGUCUUGCUCUCUCCAGGAUAGCUCACAACCCUCUAGUUUUGCUGGUAAAUCACCUUGUAUUUUAGGGAUUUUUAUUCUCUGAUCAAAUUAAUCUCUUCUCAGCAUGCCUCAGAACACUUCCUGGCUGUGGCUUUUGGAAUGAUUUUGUCUAUUGAAUUACAUGGAAAAAAGCCAAGAUGUUAGGAUCGGUUUCGUUUUCCUGGAAACUGGUGUAGUUCCCAGAACUGUGUAUCCCCCACAGAGCUCCACCCGCUGGCGGCCUUCUGAGGCAGGCAUUCGGUCACUGAGUUGUUCAGACAGGCCUUGAACUCUCUCUGCAGCUCAGCAGGAUUACCUGAGCUCAGCCUAAGGUUUGGCCGUGGGUCUCUGCAUCUGUUUCCCUCAGUUACUGGAUGAAGGCUCUCUGAUGACAAUUGGAGUAGUCUCCAGUCUGAUCAUAGGAGAUAAGUUCAUACAUCCCCUCUUGUUAAGAGACUUUCUUCAGAGGCACAGCUAUUCAGCUACAAGAAAGCUGAAUGAAUCAUCCUUGUAGAUUCAUGGGAGUUUCUCUGGCAUCGGGUUUCUACCUCAACUCCAAAUGUCCCCAAUUCCAGUCAUCUCUUUCAGUAUUCUCCCCUUCCACGUACCACCCAACCUAACUCCUCAAGUUCCUAUCCCUACCUGCCCUCAGUCCUGGUGGUUUUUCUUAACCAUAUUGGGUUAUACCAAAGCCAAUUACAAUGAAGAUGGAGUCAGUUAUAACUAGUUGUUUUAUUUCUUUAUAAUGUGUUGUUAUUUGUUGCUUUUUAUUUUGUCACAGAAGGAAAAAACAUAAUUGCAAAAUAAAGCCCUCCCCCCAAUGAAGUCGGUGCCAUGGCAUCUUCAGUCAGCUAUUGGACUCAUUUGGAUGGCAGGUUGUGGCUGCAGCAGCAGCAGCAGCAAUGGACGAAACUGAUCUCUACCGCCCCCUGGUGACUAUACGAAAGUGCUGCGAGAAGAACCUCAGUGCCUUUCCCGAAAUUGCCAACGAUGUCAAAUGUAAUUCUACUUCUUCGGCAUCAUUUCCACCCUUCCUACACUAGUUCCCACUUUGGAACUGUGAGUCCGCAGAGGCAGGUGGAUCUCUGUGAGUUCGAGACCAGCCAGGUCUACAAGAGCUAGUUCCAGGACAGCCUCCUAAGCCACAGAGACAAAAAAAAAAAAAAAAAAAAAAAAAAAAAGAAUGACAAAAGUGACUGAACAGUGCUACCCCAACCCAUCCCAAUGGCUGCGUUUUCUUGAAUUCGAUUCUUCCAAAUGUCCCCAAUUCCAUAGCUUCUUCAAAUUAGUGUGUGUUGGUCUGCUGUGUAGCACGAUGGAUUUGAUAAAACUGUUUGAGGAUGUGAGAGUCACACUUGGUGUAGAUAGGAGAUUCUGAGAAAAACCCGCCCAGAGAUUAACAUCUGUGUUUCAAUUCUGUUUCCGAACGAAAGCAGAAGUUUCUGUGAAAAGAACACACAUUGCAGUUGGAGGAAGUGCUGCAACUCUCUGUUUUGCAAUUUUCAGCGGGGACAAGGGGGUGAUCGGAUUCCAGGCUUUGAAUAGUCCUUUAUGUCCCACUGCACCUGCCCCUUUCUUUCCCCCAGCUUUCUAUGCACUGGUGGUGCAGCCUGUGGAUCAGGACUUGAAGGAGGAGGAAAGAACACAGGUUUCUCAGCUCAUUUAUGCACCCGCCCCUCCAGUUAUGUAGAGCUAUUCUGGGGUGUGCUUUCUUUGCUCCAUCAUCAGGUAGCUGAGUAGAGAGAAAAGGUGUUGAGACAAAGAAAAUGACUUCACCGAAAAAAAAAUCUUCUCAAUAUGAAAAAAAGAGAGGACUUCUUCCAUCUUGCAUUUUGGGAUGGAGGGCCUCUGAGGGCAUCGGUGGGUAGGAAAGGGUCACAGAGCAGGUUAGCAGCUGUAUUUUCCCUUCCCUUCCUUUGUUUCUGGCCAGAAAUGUUUCACAGUGGACUCAGACUCCCUGAAGAUUCAGAAGGGGCUUACAAAGGUCAUUAGAUUUUUCUGGGGUCUGUGUAUCUAGAGCAAUACCUGGUAGCCAACGUGGUAACCACCUAGACGGGGCCUCUCUUCAGAGUUUGGCAUCCAGGCAGAGGUCAGUGCAUGUCAAGGACUGGGAAGGGAAUGUUUUCAGAACUUUGCUGGGGACAGCGCUCCAAACUCAUGACUCUGAUGAAUUGUCAGCCUCUCUCCAUCCUCUGACUCUUUUCCUUGCUGGGGGAGCUGUCAAGGCUCAUUGUCACUCAGAAGCAGGGGUCAGAGAUAGGAAAUUUAAUCAACCAGGAAGAGGAACAAAGAAAGGGAUCCAUUGGCCCCAAGUUCAUCUUUCGUGUCCCAACAGGCAGAGUUAGGGAACUGGAUGGUUUUUCUCAAGCAAUGGGACUUCUUCCAAGCACCCGGAAUAAGCAGAACUGAGCUGAUGACCAAGCACAGCACAGUAAGAAGCCCUCGGGCACCUGCACCAGUUCUUCCUCUUUGAAAACCCAAGCUGAUGUCAGUUUUUUUUAAAGACAGCCUUAAUUCCUGUGUUUCCCGAAUGGGCAUUCUACUUAAACCCCUUAUAUUUCCAUCAUUACUCUUCUUUGGAGUAUGUUAGAACCUCAGAGUCCAGUUACAGUAGGAGGUCCAGGCCUCCUGUUACAAUGUGACCCACCAAUUCCAAUGCUAGAGGCCCAAACUACACUACACAUGCUUGUCCACACCUAAGGACAGUAGUAAAUUCCAUGAGUGCCAAUGAAAGAAAUUAGGGAAUUCAUAAAUCCGGUACAGUGGGAGUAGACUCAGCCAUUUCACUGCAGAGAAGGACAAAUGCAAAAGUUAUUACACCUAUCUCUUAAACUCAGCCCCGCCCCAUGGUUGGUUUUACUUGGCAAUUUAACGUCUACAAUCAUUUGCAAAGGGAGUAUCUAGAUUAGGUUGGCGUGUGGGUAUAUCUGAGGGAGACUGAGGUGAAAAAGCCCUCCCACUCUAGGUGACAUCAUUGUCUGGGCAGGGGAUUUCAGCUGUCGGAGGGUGUAGAAACUGAGGCAAGCAUUAGGGUGUGUGCAACACUUCAUUGUUCUUCCUCUCCGCUGUGGAUAUAAUGUGACCAACUGCUUCAAACACCUGCUGCCUUGACUUCUCUUCAGUGAUAGACUGCGCAGUGAUUUGAAUGAGAAAUGCCCCUUACGGGCUCAUGUAUCUGAACAUUUUGUCCCUAGGUGGGCGUGAUGUUUGGGGGGAUGUUAUGGAACCUUUAGGAGCUGUGAUCUUGACAUAGAAAGUACAUAGCUGCUGGUGGGCUUUAAGAGUUUUUAACCAAUGAAUGGAGGAGACAAAACAAAUUAGGCAAGGACAGAGACCAACACACUUCCAUCCCCCCCUAGCCCCCCAUAACAGACUGGCUGUGAAAAUCCAUAAAACUAUCAAAUCAUUGGGCCUGUAAAAAUGACACUAUAUGUCCUUCAAGGAAAAUAUGGGUGCCUUUCUCAAUUUUGGCUUGAAAAUUUUGCCCAUAUAAGAAGGGGGGGGGGAGGCAAGAUGCACAGUGAAAACUGCUUCUUAUAUCAAGAAUAAUCGGGUCUAUCUACAAUUACAGACCCAAGCAAGCAAAACCCCUGAAAUGAAGGUAGCUGAGAUGGCUCAAAGGGCUCUGCUCCCAGGGCCCAAUAGCCUGAGUUUCAUUCCUAGGACUCACGUGUGGUGGAAGGGGAGACCAAUGCGCGCGCGCACACGCACAACACACACACACACACACACACACACACACACACACACACACACACACACACGCAUGCACACGUGGAAUUACAAGCAUGCAUAUGUUGACAACUGGAGAGACUACUCACCCUGAGAACCGAGCAUCAGAUGUGCAAUGCUGGGAGCAAGAGCGGCCGUAACUAGUCUGUGUAGAGACUAGCACGAGAGCCGCUCCCACACACCACAGAGAUGCGGAAGCCGCUUCAUCUGUGCACAUUUGCAGAUAUCAUCAGCAUGCAGCUUACAUUUCAGAUGGGGUUUCAAUCACCUCAAUUCUUCUUCCUCUUCUUUCUUUCUUCUUCUCUUCCACGUCCCCUUUCUCCUCCUCCAGAGCAAAGAACACCAAGAGGAGCGAGGGGCUGGAGAGGUGGCUCCGCAGGCAAGGGAGCUGGCUUUCCUUCUAGAGGACAGUUUUGUUGCCAGACGCCCCCUUUAGUCAGUUUACAACCAUCUGUUAGCCCAGUUCCCCAAGAUUUCAGUGCCCUCUGCUGAGCACUGCUGCACACGCAGCCAUACACAGGAGGCUCCUGCCCUCUUCUCACUUCUGCCCCUCUCUCCUCCUUCCUCCCCUGCCCUGCUUUCUCCCCCAUCCCUGCCCUGUUUUCUCACCCAGCUCAAUAUAGCUAAAAAUGAUCCUUCAAAGAGCCACAAGGGUCACCUUCACCUGCCAGAACUGACACUGCUCAGAGUCCUACUCAAAAUGAACAACACUGCAGAAAGUCGAGGAAACCUGUCUGCUGCUGGCCCCUCCCCGAGAAAAUUAUUUUUUUCAUAUGAACCAAGUCUCAUCUAACUAAUAACCAAAGCAAAACGCAAAACAACCAAGGAUAGCUCUGGUAGGAACCCGAGCGCAUCUCUGCUCCUCAGCUAACACUGCAGCCUCUCUCCCCAGUCUUCAGGAAAACACACCGUGUCAUAUCUGUCAUAUCUCGUGAAGUGUGUUUGCUAAGUCUUCAGCUAAAACAGGAAGAGAAGAAGUAACCCACCAAAGAUCUAACACUUCCGACAGCUCAGGAAAUCGUUCGGUUUACAAGGAACACAAAUCCCAAUUAACACACCCAACCGCCAUUCUCAAGUUGUUUAUUAAGUUUGAUCAUUUAAUAUUUAUUCAUAUUUAUAUGUAUUACAUUUAUUUUAUGUAUGUAUGUUUGGUUUUACAUAUAUUUUAUAUACUUCUAUAUUUCAUAUUUAUUUAUAUCUGCAUAUAUUUAUUUUAUACAUUUCUUAAGUUUAUAUAUAUUUUAUAUAUUUAUAUUUCAUAUUUAUUUGUUUAUAU